CUUCACCACACAAAGAUGGCAGAUACGAUCUAACGUCGAAGUUGGGGCCCUUUUGGACCGCCAUCUGGUCUUUCCUCUUAUGGAAUUCCUGUCCGUGAAGAGGAUCUAUGAUGAGACGGAUCUUCAGCGUGCAAAGUUGGAACUCCUCCCCAA